UUAUUUUCGCCCGAGGAUGGGACUGCGGCCGAUCAGGCUGUGGGUGGGGUAAAUUCCCUCCUAUCUUGACCGGUCGGGCCUUGGGAGAAGGAGCCCGGAGAUGGACACCAAGACAAGGGUCCAGGUCCUUCGGGGCGCAGCCGGCCCGAAACCUUCGCAAUGCGCGAAAGCGCGACGAGGUUAUUCUGAGUGAUUUCCGCUGAGGAAAUCUUUUCUUAGAUCUAAAAAGUCUGGGGAAUAAGGGGAGGGCAAGUCUGGUGUCAGCCGCCGCGGUAAUACCAGCUCCUCGAGUGGUCAGGGCGUUUAUUGGGCCUAAAGCAUCCGUAGCCUGCUCAGUAGGUCUCCUGUUAAAUCCAACGGCUCAACCGUUGGUCUGCAGGAGAUACCGCUGGGCUAGGAGGCGGGAGAGGCGGACGGUACUCCGAGGGUAGGGGUAAAAUCCUUUGAUCCCCGGAA
rnacentral:rRNA from 1 species